GCACUCCCAACUCAAAGUGUUGUUGUGAGAAUUAAAUAAGAUGAGGAAGACUGGAGGCCAAGAUCACCCCUUGAGGAUCAUUGUCAGGGCUGCCACGAGUGGGGCAGCCUUGUUUUCCUACCUCAGACACCU